AUACGGAGGAUGCAAGCGUUAUCCGGAUUUAUUGGGUUUAAAGGGUGCGUAGGCUGUUCGGAAAGUCAGGGGUGAAAGCCCGGCGCCUAACGCCGGAACUGCCUUUGAUACUUCCGAGCUGGAAUACGGAUGCCGUGGGAGGAAUGAGUAGUGUAGCGGUGAAAUGCAUAGAUAUUACUCAGAACACCGAUUGCGAAGGCAUCUCACGAAUCCGUCAUUGACGCUGAGGCACGAAAGCGUGGGGAUCAAACAGGAUUAGAUACCCUGGUAGUCCACGCAGUAAACGAUGAAUACUAGGUGUCGGGUUUCUAUAGAGAUUCGGUGCCGCAGCAAACGCAAUAAGUAUUCCACCUGGGGAGUACGUUCGCAAGAAUGAAACUCAAAUGAAUUGGCGGGG
rnacentral:rRNA from 1 species